rnacentral:rRNA from 1 species
AAUCAAUGUAUAGGAGGUCCUGCCUGCCCAGUGACUAUAAGUUAAACGGCCGCGGUAUUUUGACCGUGCAAAGGUAGCGCAAUCACUUGUCUUUUAAAUGAAGACCUGUAUGAAUGGUGGAACGAGGGCUUAACUGUCUCCCUCACCUAGUCAAUGAAAUUGAUCUAUCCGUGCAGAAGCGGGUAUAAUAAUACAAGACGAGAAGACCCUUUGGAGCUUAAGACAAAAGACCAACUAUGUUAAAAGUCACUAAACCAAAUAANUACUGGUCCCAGUCUUCGGUUGGGGCGACCACGGGAGAAAAUAAAGCUCCCAUGUGGACAGGGGCAACCCCUAAAACUAAGAGAUACAUCUCUAAGGCACAGAACAUCUGACCAUAAAGAUCCGGCUAAUGCCGACCAACGGACCAAGUUACCCUAGGGAUAACAGCGCAAUCCCCUUCCAGAGUCCAUAUCGACAAGGGGGUUUACGACCUCGAUGUUGGAUCAGGACAUCCUAAUGGUGCA